rnacentral:rRNA from 1 species
GACGAACGCUGGCGGCGUGCCUAAUACAUGCAAGUCGAGCGCAGGAAGCUGACGGAACUCUUCGGAGAGAAGGCAGUGGAAUGAGCGGCGGACGGGUGAGUAACACGUAAGGAACCUGCCUCAAGGAUUGGGAUAACUCCGAGAAAUCGGAGCUAAUACCGGAUAGUUCAACGGACCGCAUGGUCCGCUGAUGAAAGGCGCUUCGGCGUCACCUUGAGAUGGCCUUGCGGUGCAUUAGCUAGUUGGUGGGGUAACGGCCCACCAAGGCGACGAUGGAUAGCCGACCGGGGAGGGUGAUCGGCCACACUGGGACUGAGACACGGCCCAGACUCCUACGGGAGGCAGCAGUAGGGAAUCUUCCACAAUGGACGAAAGUCUGAUGGAGCAACGCCGCGUGAGUGAUGAAGGUUUUCGGAUCGUAAAACUCUGUUGUAAGGGAAGAACACGUACGAGAGGGAAUGCUCGUACCUUGACGGUACCUUACGAGAAAGCCACGGCUAACUACGUGCCAGCCGCCGCCGUAA